UACGUAGGUGGCAAGCGUUGUCCGGAAUUAUUGGGCGUAAAGCGCGCGCAGGCGGUCCUUUAAGUCUGAUGUGAAAGCCCACGGCUCAACCGUGGAGGGUCAUUGGAAACUGGGGGACUUGAAUGCAGAAGAGGAAAGCGGAAUUCCACGUGUAGCGGUGAAAUGCGUAGAGAUGUGGAGGAACACCAGUGGCGAAGGCGGCUUUCUGGUCUGUAACUGACGCUGAGGCGCGAAAGCGUGGGGAGCAAACAGG
rnacentral:rRNA from 1 species